UGCAAGUCGAACGGCAGCACGGGAGCAAUCCUGGUGGCGAGUGGCGAACGGGUGAGUAAUAUAUCGGAACGUGCCCAGUCGUGGGGGAUAACGCAGCGAAAGCUGUGCUAAUACCGCAUACGAUCUCUGGAUGAAAGCGGGGGACUCGCAAGAGCCUCGCGCGAUUGGAGCGGCCGAUAUCAGAUUAGCUAGUUGGCGGGGUAAAGGCCCACCAAGGCGACGAUCUGUAGCUGGUCUGAGAGGACGACCAGCCACACUGGAACUGAGACACGGUCCAGACUCCUACGGGAGGCAGCAGUGGGGAAUUUUGGACAAUGGGCGAAAGCCUGAUCCAGCAAUGCCGCGUGCAGGAUGAAGGCCUUCGGGUUGCAAACUGCUUUUGUACGGAACGAAACGGUCUCUCUUAAUACGGGGGGCUAAUGACGGUACCGUAAGAAUAAGCACCGGCUAACUACGUGCCAGCAGCCGCGGUAAUACGUAGGGUGCGAGCGUUAAUCGGAAUUACUGGGCGUAAAGCGUGCGCAGGCGGUUAUAUAAGACAGAUGUGAAAUCCCCGGGCUCAACCUGGGACCUGCAUUUGUGACUGUAUAGCUAGAGUACGGUAGAGGGGGAUGGAAUUCCGCGUGUAGCAGUGAAAUGCGUAGAUAUGCGGAGGAACACCGAUGGCGAAGGCAAUCCCCUGGACCUGUACUGACGCUCAUGCACGAAAGCG
rnacentral:rRNA from 1 species